rnacentral:rRNA from 1 species
UACGUAGGGGGCUAGCGUUGUCCGGAAUCAUUGGGCGUAAAGCGCGUGUAGGCGGUCCGGUAAGUCCGCUGUGAAAGUCGGGGGCUCAACCCUCGGAUGCCGGUGGAUACUGUCGGGCUCGAGUACGGAAGAGGCGAGUGGAAUCCUGGUGAGCGGUGAAAUGCACAGAUAUCAGGAGGAACACCAAUUGCGAAGGCAGCUCGCUGGGACGGUACUGACGCUGAGGCGCGAAAGCGUGGGGAGCGAACAGG